rnacentral:lncRNA from 1 species
AUUAUUAAGCCUCCCUCCGAGGUCCUUCAGUUGGGCAAUAAACUUUGGAGCUCCUGUCUUGUUGGUAGUUUUAUUAAUUCUAGGCUUCCUUUCAAGCUUGUGGAUGAUAGUGUUCAUAAAUUGUGGGAUAAGUUUGGAUUACAAAAGGUGUUCCUCCAGGAUAAGGGGCUGUUUAUUUUCAAGUUCUCUUCUCAUGAGGAACGUGACAAUGUUCUUG